rnacentral:rRNA from 1 species
CCCAAGGGUUGGGCUGUUCGCCCAUUAAAGUGGUACGCGAGCUGGGUUCAGAACGUCGUGAGACAGUUCGGUCCCUAUCCGUCGCAGGCGUAGGAAAUUUGAGAAGACCUGUCCUUAGUACGAGAGGGCCGGGAUGGACGUACCUCUGGUGUACCAGUUGUCCUGCCAAGGGCAUGGCUGGGUAGCUAUGUACGGAAUGGAUAAGCGCUGAAAGCAUCUAAGCGCGAAGCCAACUUCAAGAUAAGAUUUCCCACCG